ACGCAACUUUGUAGAAGCACCUGAGCGUAGUUGGAAACACCUGGAGGCACCCAGGCUGUCAAGACCCAAACUGUAUGAAUACGGUGAGCCAAAACUAUCAUUUUAAAGUUGUUGUACGUUUCGAAACCGAAAAGAAGAACAACACAUUUCACUUUAUCCUCGAAUUACGCCUGGGAAUGAUUCAUGCCGGUGUUUUUCCGGACAAGGCCACCGUGACCAGCUCGUUGGCAAUGGAGGGACAGACCACCAUCUUUAAGAUGUCAGCAACCAACACGACUUGCACCAUCACUGGUGUAAUGGCCUUGAUCAGGAGCAUCUACCAAGGUGCUUCCUCUUUGUUCAUGUGGAGUUGAUGCGUGAGGUGAAACCAAAGCAGGCCUCGUCGCACCACAAGGAAGAGGCUUGUGGAGUGCACGACACCCCAUUGCUCUUUUCCCCCGUGUGCCCGGCCGAUGUCAUGGGGCGCGUUGGAUGAUGGAGCACUCUCAUUCCGAGUUGAGAGAGCGCUGAAGGUGUGCUGCAGACAGAAAAACCAUGGGGGGCAAUUAGAGAGGACAUCCAACACCUGGGUCCACAAGUGAGACGGGAGCUCGAGAACAUCCCAAAUGACAUUUCCUGCAAGAGCGCUCAAUUUCACAAAAAGUAUAUUUCAUAAGCUCUAUCGGAGGUAGUUAUCGAGAUAAGCCUUCAGCAGUCACGUUUCCACCAUUCAGUCACACGUUACUCAUGUUUACAACUCUCUGAAACUCUAAGAAUUAAGUAGAAAGUAGAACAGGCUCUUGAAAUCCAAAAAGAAUCAAUUUACGAGCAAGAGAUGCUUCAGUAUUAUUCUGGAGAUAUAAAUAAUCAGACUAAAGGCAAUGAACAUUCAGGAAGAGGGAGUUAAGAGGCGAAUGAUGUUUUACAUGGAAUCAUUAUCUGGAUAUUUAAAAGAAAGUUACCAACAUCCUCUGGUGUUUUGUUUGUUUUUCUUUGGUAAAUACAUACCUUUAUGUCCCAGAUCAAGAAAUGUAAUUUUUUUUUAAUUCAAGUACCUUGUCAUAGGUUGUAAGGUCCAGUUUAUAAAGAGCAGGUGUCAUUCCCCCACAUUCCCCCGGGCACUGUGCAAGCACUGAAGAUGGACCUGUUUAACGCCAGAGUCAACACAACCCCUAUUCUUUCCCACUGUGUCCAUAAAUGUGAUUGACUUAAAAUAAUCUCUAUUAACUGUGUAAAAUAAUAAGGGGAUGUGUGCAAUGAGUUCAUUAUUGAAGUAAAAAUGUGGAGUGAUGAGUUCAGUAGUGGUAAUAAUUUUUCCGCUUGCAGAAGGUUAUUCGUGCCUACAUUUCCCUUUUUAUGUUCUUGUCCAUUGCAUGAAGUUGUCAAUUGUGCCUGAUCUGUCUUUAUUUACUAAGGUUUUAGAAAGCUGUUUUGACAGUUUGGAGAACUUCAUAAAAGCUAUAGAAACCUAAAUGAAAUAUAAAUCUGUUUUAUCUAGCCCUUUUAAAGAAUGACACUGUGAUGUCCAAGGGCCCAAUAUUGUGAUAUUUUGUAGAGAAAGACAGUCUACGCUGUUCAGGUCACCUUCUCUCUGAAAAUGGCCAAAGCUCAACACAUUAUCCCUUAAGCUGUGUAAAAAAUUGAAGAAAAUUUACUUGAACCCUUUAUGCUAUGUUUACACUUAGUUUUACUCUUGGCCAUAGUUUCACACUAUAUAUGAGUUAAACUCAAGCUUAAUCUGUCAAAGUUUUCUUCUGAUUAAUUAAUAAUCGUAAUCAUUAGUUGCAGCUCUUGUGCUAAUGUUACUGCUGCAUCAUUGGGAAAUGGAAAAUGCUUCAACACAUUUCUUCUGAGUUGUCAUAAAUAUCUGCUGAACACAGCUCCAUGUUGCAUUAUCGAAAAUUACACCAAUUUUCCUGUUGACUUCAGAGUUCAAAAUGCCUUUCUUGAUUUCACUCUUGUUUGCAAGCGUUUUGUGCUUUAAACUUUGAAUGUGGACGGGUCAGAUUAAACAUUACAUGCUUGAGUAGUAAUUCAAAUUUCAAAUAAAAAGUGACAGCCUUUGUAAAUAGUGCUUCAUUUGCGACUAGCUUGGCUGACUUGAGACAAUCUAUAUAUACAGACCUUGAAAAGAAAUGCACUGGGUUGGUAAA